rnacentral:rRNA from 1 species
CCAACAGGGAUUGCCUCAGUAACGGCGAGUGAAGCGGCAACAGCUCAAAUUUGAAAGCUGGCUCUUUUAGGGCCCGCAUUGUAAUUUGUAGAGGAUGCUUCGGGUGCGGCGCUGGUCUAAGUUCUUUGGAACAAGACGUCAUAGAGGGUGAGAAUCCCGUAUGUGACUAGCUGCCUGUGCCUGUGUGAAGCUCCUUCGACGAGUCGAGUUGUUUGGGAAUGCAGCUCAAAAUGGGUGGUGUACUUCAUCUAAAGCUAAAUAUUGGCCAGAGACCGAUAGCGCACAAGUAGAGUGAUCGAAAGAUGAAAAGCACUUUGGAAAGAGAGUUAAACAGUACGUGAAAUUGUUGAAAGGGAAGCGCUUGCAAUCAGACUUGUGCGGCGUCGAUCAACCUGGGUUCUCCCUGGUGCACUCGGCGCUGCUCAGGCCAGCAUCAGUUUUGGCGGUUGGAUAAAGGCCUAGGGAACGUGGGUUACUUCGGUGACUGUUAUAGCCCUAGGUGCAAUGCAGCCUGCUGGGACUGAGGACCGCGCUUCGGCUAGGAUGCUGGCGUAAUGGUUGUAAGCGACCCGUCUUGAAACACGGACCAAGGAGUCUAACAUCUAUGCGAGUUUUUGGGUGUUAAACCCAUAAGCGUAAUGAAAGUGAACGGAGGUGAGAACCCUUAAGGGUGCAUCAUCGACCGAUCCUGAUGUCUUCGGAUGGAUUUGAGUAAGAGCAUAGCUGUUGGGACCCGAAAGAUGAUGAUCUAUACCUGAAUAGGGUGAAGCCAGAGGAAACUCUGGUGGAGGCUCGCAGCGGUUCUGACGUGCAAAUCGAUCGUCAAAUUUGGGUAUAGGGGCGAAAGACUAAUCGAA